UAGUGCAAUUAUCCAUGUGAUCUAAAUUCUUCGCCCUCUUUUAUCCUGUUCCCCUCGGUCUUCAGUCUCUCCACUCCACACCCCCCGAUUUCUCCCUCGUCAAAUCUGCCAGCUUGCUACUUGGAGUAAGGAAAGGAGGGAUGGAGGUCAAAGUUACAUGGCUUACAAGAGAACACCCAGUACCUCCCCUUCUGCUGGCAUUCAUCACAGACAUAGGCCUUAGCCAUGUCCAACUCAAGCUCAUGCCUGUGUCGUGGAUUGUUCACUCGGCGUGGCAGCUUGUCUCCUUCCUUCCUGAGUGCUUCAUUCACCUCAGAAACUCUAGAUUCUGUGAAUGGGAAUGCUGUUGCACCCCAAGAAGCUCCUGAAGCUUACCUCCUUGUCUCCUGGCAUCAUCUAUGGCCUCCAGCUCCCCUCGCCUCUUUACACUGAAGGGGUAUGCUUCUGCUCCGUACUCCUCAACCAGCUUCACUGCAUCCUCUUCGAAUCCUAACUCACCAGAUGGUGUUACUGACAAAGGAAUCAAUGCGGGGAUGUGCUCAAUUCCAAAAUGGCUGCACAACUUUCUCCUUAGGCUGGAGUUGAAUGGCAGAGCGAGCCAUGGCAUGCUUUUGAAGUGAUCCAAGAAGCUGGUCUCGUCAUGAUCAAGUGAUAUGAAGAUAAUUUCGAUAUUCUUGCCAGUAUUGCGGAGCAUUGUGUAGAUUUGGACUAGCUUUGGGGUGAAGUUCCUGCAUGGCCUGCACCAGUGAGCUGAGAAGAAGAGGCAGGUCACCUUCCCUUCAAUGGAGGACAGAGGUACUUCCUGCUUUUUCACAAAUGAUAUCAAAUUCUUUCAGUCAGACAUAUUUGGUAAAACAAGAAGUAUUUUUCUUUUGAGAACAAGCGCAGCAAAAUUGAACA